ensembl:lncRNA
GUUAUGUUGGCCAUGAAUGUGAACUCAUACAAGGAAUAACUUAGCUGUCAAAGUACAAAAACUAUCAUGCAGCCAUUAAAAGUGCUAUGUACAAUUACAGAUAUGUGUAAAAGAGCAUGUUUAAAGUCAAAUCAGUACAGUUAUUAGAGUUAUUGGCACCAUAUAUACACAAGGUAGGCAGACAAUAGUUAAAUCGAGCAGAGAGCAAUGUUUCUAGGAUGAGAUGUACAACAAUGGAGACAUUGUAAAUUAUUUUUGCAAUUUCAACAGUAUUUUACUUUAAUAUUUACAGCAAAAUACUGUUCCUACUGCAAAUAGCAAAGAAUUAUGGGAAAAUAUAAGCUCACUACUGUAUAUGUUCUCUACAGCAAUCAUCCUGCCUGGGAAAAACUGUCGAAUGGCAAGAGAGAGUUUAAAUUACGGCUACAAAUGUUUUUGUGGAACACAAAGUAAACAGACAAAGAAAAAGCUGAUCCAUCACAAAAGUGUACAGAACAUAACAUGGUGCAAGGUUGGGAUUCACAUCUGGACUUCCACCUGUUCGCACACCAUCCGCUCCUAUAUCUGGACUCAUCUGACUUCUGGUUCCUCCUUCGUCAGCUCGACUCCUUCACCUCUUUGUCCUGAAGUCCCCUCCGAAUAUUCACCUGGAUCAUCCACCCGUCUUCCCGACGACGUCUCCCCUCACAUCACACCAGCCGCCGCAGUCCUUACCCCCUGUUGUGCUUCCCAGCUCUCCA